rnacentral:rRNA from 1 species
UACGGAGGAUGCAAGCGUUAUCCGGAAUGAUUGGGCGUAAAGCGUCCGCAGGUGGCAAUGUAAGUCUGCUGUUAAAGAGCCUAGCUCAACUAGAUAAAAGCAGUGGAAACUACAUAGCUAGAGUACGUUCGGGGCAGAGGGAAUUCCUGGUGUAGCGGUGAAAUGCGUAGAGAUCAGGAAGAACACCAGUGGCGAAGGCGCUCUGCUAGGCCGUAACUGACACUGAGGGACGAAAGCUAGGGGAGCGAAUGGG